ACGUAGGGGGCGAGCGUUGUCCGGAAUCAUUGGGCGUAAAGCGCGUGUAGGCGGCUUGGUAAGUCUGGUGUGAAAUCCUGGGGCUUAACCCCAGACCUGCACUGGAUACUGCCAAGCUUGAGUCCGGGAGGGGAGAGCGGAAUUCCUAGUGUAGCGGUGAAAUGCGCAGAUAUUAGGAAGAACACCGGUGGCGAAGGCGGCUCUCUGGGCCGAUACUGACGCUGAGGAGCGAAAGCGUGGGGAGCGAACAGGA
rnacentral:rRNA from 1 species